GGUCAAGCGAAUAAGCGCACACGGUGGAUGCCUAGGCGGUCAGAGGCGAUGAAGGACGUGGUAGCCUGCGAAAAGUGUCGGGGAGCUGGCAACAAGCUUUGAUCCGGCAAUAUCCGAAUGGGGAAACCCACUGCUUCGGCAGUAUCCUGCAGUGAAUUCAUAGCUGCUGGAAGCGAACCCGGUGAACUGAAAUAUCUAAGUAACCGGAGGAAAAGAAAUCAACCGAGAUUCCCUAAGUAGUGACGAGCGAACGGGGAGCAGCCCUUAAGCUGGAAUGGCUUUAGAAAAACAAUCUGGAAAGAUUGGCCAUAGAAGGUGAUAGCCCUGUAUUUAAAAGGGCCACUCCAGUGAAGACGAGUAGGGCGGGGCACGUGAAACCCUGUCUGAAUAUGGGGGGACCAUCCUCCAAGGCUAAAUACUCCUGACCGACCGAUAGUGAACCAGUACCGUGAGGGAAAGGUGAAAAGAACCCCGGAGAGGGGAGUGAAAUAGAUCCUGAAACCGUGUGCGUACAAGCAGUAGGAGCUCGCAAGAGUGACUGCGUACCUUUUGUAUAAUGGGUCAGCGACUUACUGUUCGUGGCAAGCUUAACCGUAUAGGGGAGGCGAAGGGAAACCGAGUCUGAUAAGGGCGCAUAGUCGCGGGCAGUAGACCCGAAACCGGGUGAUCUAGUCAUGGCCAGGGUGAAGGUGCCGUAACAGGUACUGGAGGCCCGAACCCACGUCUGUUGCAAAAGACGGGGAUGAGCUGUGAUUAGGAGUGAAAAGCUAAUCGAACCCGGAGAUAGCUGGUUCUCCUCGAAAGCUAUUUAGGUAGCGCCUCAUAUGUAUCCUCUCGGGGGUAGAGCACUGUUAUGGCUAGGGGGUCAUCGCGACUUACCAAACCAUUGCAAACUCCGAAUACCGAGACGGACUGUAUGGGAGACACACGGCGGGUGCUAACGUCCGUCGUGAAAAGGGAAACAACCCAGACCCACAGCUAAGGUCCCAAAUUCACUGCUAAGUGGAAAACGAUGUGGAAAGGCAUAGACAGCCAGGAGGUUGGCUUAGAAGCAGCCACCCUUUAAAGAAAGCGUAAUAGCUCACUGGUCGAGUCGGUCUGCGCGGAAGAUUUAACGGGGCUAAGCAGUGAACCGAAGCUUGGGGUGCAUAAAACUUGUUUUAUGCGCGGUAGAGGAGCGUUCCGUAAGCCUGCGAAGGUGGAUUGAGAAGUCUGCUGGAGGUAUCGGAAGUGCGAAUGCUGACAUGAGUAACGAUAAUGCGGGUGAAAAGCCCGCACGCCGAAAGCCCAAGGUUUCCUUGCGCAACGUUAAUCGACGCAGGGUUAGUCGGUCCCUAAGGCGAGGGCGAAAGCCGUAGUCGAUGGGAAGCAGGUUAAUAUUCCUGCACCUCGCGUGAGUGCGAUGGAGGGACGGAGAAGGUUAGGUGUACCGGGCGUUGGUUGUCCCGGGGAAAGGCGGUAGGUUUGGAUCUUUGGCAAAUCCGGGAUCCUUUAAGACCGAGCACCGAGACGAGCCUUUAUGGCGAAGUCACUGAUACCACGCUUCCAGGAAAAGCUCCUAAGCUUCAGCUCACGAAGACCGUACCGUAAACCGACACAGGUGGGUAGGAUGAGAAUUCUCAGGCGCUUGAGAGAACUCGGGUGAAGGAACUAGGCAACAUGGCACCGUAACUUCGGGAGAAGGUGCACCCUUUUUGGUGGCUCGUGCGAGCUAUAGCUGAAGAGGGUCGCAGAAACCAGGCCGCUGCGACUGUUUAUCAAAAACACAGCACUCUGCAAACACGAAAGUGGACGUAUAGGGUGUGACGCCUGCCCGGUGCUGGAAGGUUAAUUGAUGGGGUCAGCCGCAAGGCGAAGCUCUUGAUCGAAGCCCCAGUAAACGGCGGCCGUAACUAUAACGGUCCUAAGGUAGCGAAAUUCCUUGUCGGGUAAGUUCCGACCUGCACGAAUGGCGUAACGACAGCGGCGCUGUCUCCACCCGAGACUCAGUGAAAUUGAAAUCGCUGUGAAGAUGCAGCGUUCCCGUGGCAAGACGGAAAGACCCCGUGAACCUUUACUAUAGCUUUACACUGAACGUUGAGUUCGUCUGUGUAGGAUAGGUGGGAGGCUAUGAAACUGUGGCGCUAGCUGCAGUGGAGCCAUCCUUGAAAUACCACCCUGUCGUGCUUGACGUUCUAACCUAGGUCCGUUAUCCGGAUCAGGGACCGUGUAUGGUGGGUAGUUUGACUGGGGCGGUCUCCUCCUAAAGAGUAACGGAGGAGCACGAAGGUACGCUCAGCGCGGUCGGACAUCGCGCACUGUGUGCAAAGGCAUAAGCGUGCUUGACUGCAAGAUCGACGGAUCAAGCAGGUACGAAAGUAGGUCUUAGUGAUCCGGUGGUUCUGUAUGGAAGGGCCAUCGCUCAACGGAUAAAAGGUACUCCGGGGAUAACAGGCUGAUACCGCCCAAGAGUUCAUAUCGACGGCGGUGUUUGGCACCUCGAUGUCGGCUCAUCACAUCCUGGGGCUGUAGUCGGUCCCAAGGGUAUGGCUGUUCGCCAUUUAAAGUGGUACGCGAGCUGGGUUCAGAACGUCGUGAGACAGUUCGGUCCCUAUCUGCCAUGGGCGUUGGAAGUUUGAGAGGGGCUGCUCCUAGUACGAGAGGACCGGAGUGGACGAACCUCUGGUGUUCCGGUUGUCACGCCAGUGGCAUUGCCGGGUAGCUAUGUUCGGAAGCGAUAACCGCUGAAAGCAUCUAAGCGGGAAGCGCGCCUCAAGAUGAGACUUCCCGGGGCACAAGCCCCCUAAAGGAACCAUGUAGACUACGUGGUUGAUAGGUCAGGUGUGUAAGUACAGCAAUGUAUUGAGCUAACUGAUACUAAUGAUCCGUGCGGCUUGACCAU
rnacentral:rRNA from 1 species